ACUUAGAAUCAUAUACUGCACCUGCCAAUUUCGUUCUUGGUCCUAAUUGUGCUGCAGCCGCCAAUCUCACUAAUUCAAAAAGCUUUCCGAUUGUGAGCAACCUGGAGAACAAUAGUGGUACUGAGCGGGCUGCUAAUCAGCGCAUUCCUGUGACACAAGCUGACAGUUCGAACGCAGACGUAUCAAAUGCAGCUCCUUCAAAUGGGAGUCGGGUGUAUACGGUAUCACCCCAACAAGUGCAUCUAUAAGAAAGUCAACUUAUAAGUCCUGUUCACUCCUCAAAUUAGUUUGGUUCACUCCGCCUUCGUCGUCGCCCCGAAUUGCUACAAGAGCAAGUCGAAAUCUUACGACAGAAAAAGGCUUUGUUAAUAGAACAGCACAGCUUUUUGGAUCGCAUAGAUGCAAUGGGUUUUGAUGACGACUUUGACGAAAGGCAAUAAUGCUUCUAUCCCAAAGGCUACAGCUGCCGCCACAAUUUGUGGCACCAUUUAAUACAACCGCUCCUCUUCUAAACGAUAUUACAAAUAGCGGGUAUUCACUACCUAACAGUAUUCCAACCGGAAUGUUAACGGGUCAACAAGGAGAAACUGAUAUUCAAACACCGGUUCUUCAAUCGUUAUUGAACCGAAUACAGUCACUUGAACAGCAGUUGCGACGGAAUUCAACACUCAAUCCAGAGACUGUUUUGCCGGAACCAGCUCAUACAACUUUUCCGACAGCUGGGCGCGUUAACAGCUUGUCUUUUGGUUCUUCAACUUGUCGCCGAUUGACUCGGGACCAAGUUGCUUCUCGUAACAGCCUUGUUAAAGAAUUACCCAAAUAUGAUGGUAAACCCAGCGAAUGGCCGUUGUAUUAUGCCGCUUACAAUCGAACUACAGACGAAGAGAAUCUGCUAAGACUGCGACAGGCAUUGGAAGGUCCAGCGCUGAAAGCUGUUAAAAAUCUGUUAAAAAUCUGUUAUUGCACUCCUCACGCGUCAGUCAAGUUAUGGCCUUCCUAGAUGAUGGCUCAUCUCUUUCAGUCAUCGACGAAGCUUUUAAAACAGCUGAAUGUAAGAGGAACACCACAACCACUCCGCCUACGUUGGACGGGCGACACACAUCGGUACGAGAACGAGUCUGUCGUAGCCGACCUGACUAUAUCGGCUGUAAAUGGGCAUAGUCAAUUUUCACUUAAAAGUGUUCGCUCUGUCAAGAAACUCCAGUUGCCUACCCAAUCGAUCGACGCUAACAAACUGCGAUUACAAUUCAAACAUUUGAAAGGAUUGUCAUUGCACUCCUAUUCAAACGCCACUCCACAACUGCUGGUAGGCUUAAAUAACGCGGCUCUUGGAUCUCCAAUAAAAUCCAUAUGUGGGGAUAAAAUAGGCCAAUUUCAGAAAAGUAUAAAUUAGGAUGGACCUUGAAAGGGUUCAUGCAUAAAGCCGACACCGAUCCUAUACACCACGUUUAUCACAUCUGUGAUUGAUCUCCUCAAGCUGAACUGCUUGAAAUCACCAAAGCGUACAUUUGCCUCGACAACUUAGGUGUGUCAACAAAACCUGUUGCUUUAAUGUCGAAGGGGGAUGAGGUUGCUUUUUAGCAACUACAAAAUUUCACCAUUCGCACUGGAAACCGUUUCGAGACCAGCUUAUUGUGGAAGCACUAGGACGUUGAAAUCGCCGAUAGCUUACCAAUGGCCUUAUUUCGGGCAAAUUGUCUGCGGAAAAGGUUGCAACGAGACCACGACCUGGCUGAAACUCUUCACACAAGGAUACGCGAUUAUAUUCAAACGGGGUAUAUCAGACGUUUAGGACCCCUCGACUCCGCCGUCAAAAAAUAUUGGUAUUUGCCGAUUUUAUUAGUAACCAUUCCCAAUAAACCAGGCAAAGUUAGACUAGUCUGGGACGCAGCUGCUAAAGUAAAUGGAGUGCCCCUAAACAGGAUGCUGCUGAAAGGUCCAGACCUAACAACUCCUCUACACUCGGUGCUCUUUAAGUUUCGACAAAAGAGAAUUGCUAUGACAGCCGAUAUAGCUGAAAUAUUUCACCAAGUUCGUGUACGUCAAGAAGACCAAAACUUCGUACGUUUUCUUUGGUAUGAGCGAAACGCUAAUGAGCCGACUAUAUUUGCAAUGACAAUGAUGACGUUUGGGGCCACAUGUUCACCAAGUACGCGCAAUAUGUAAAAAAUAAGAAAGCAAAAGAUUUUGAAGAGAAAUUUCUUCUUGUUUCAAAGUCCAUAACAGAAAAUCACUACGUCGACGAUAUGUUGGAACGUGUGGAUACCGGGUAUUAUUUGCCCUAAAUGAGGAUCCGAUCGAUGAGCUACCUCUCGAUCUUGACAGUGAACUGCCUACUGAAAAGGUUUCAGGCAUGUGGUGGAUUACGUCCAGUGACCAUUUCGCAUUUCGCGUGUCCGCUAACUAUAGAAAUUUUGACAUAUUUCUUCAUCAAAGGCGACCUACUAAGCGCGAGGUUUUGAGUUUGGUCAUGACUAUUUACGAUCCUCUUGGACUCACCAGUUUUUACGUAAUAUAUGCCAAGGUUAUCCUACAAGAGUUAUGGAGAGCUGGAUGCGACUGGCAUGUUCCAAUCCCUGAUGACCAACUUGCCAAGUGGCUAAGAUGGCUGAAACUAAUUCUGACAGUAGAGAGUCUAAGAAUUUAAAGAUGCUAUAUGGGAACUGUGUUUGGCGGAGUUCCACAAAUCGAAUUGCACACAUUCAUUGAUGCAAGUGAAACUAGCUACGCAGAAGUUUGUUACCUUCGACACUCGUAUGGCGAUACGGUUAGCUGUACAAUGAUGGCAAGCAAAACAAGGGUGGCGCUAUUGAAGCUAAUAUCCAUACCUUGUUUAGAAUUGAAAGCAUCACUUUUAGUGGCUCGCCUCGCCAAACAUGUUAUCGAAUCGCACUCUAUCCACAUUGACAAAUGCGUUUACUGGUCAGAAUCCCGAACGGUAUUAGCGUGGCUACGAUCCGAUCACCGGCGCUACAAACAAUUUGUAGCCUUCCGGGUUAGUGAAAUUUUAGAGCUGACCGACGUCAAGGAAUGGCAUUGGAAUCCAUCUGAGGAAAACUGAGCAACCAAAUGGAAUGGUGAUCCAGACUUUUCUAACGACAGUCGAUGGUUUAGAGGGCCAUCAUUCUUGUACCUCUCGCCUGACAAGUGGCUUAUGUCUGACGAAUUGCAAUGCAGUGCAACUGAAGAUCUGCGUCCACAGUUUACUGGCUUUCAUCACCGAACCUCAAAACAGCAUCAGGUAGUACCAGAACCACUGAGAUUUUCAGCUUGGAACCGUCUACUUCGUGCAACAGCUGUGACAACGUAUUGUGUUCGGAUCUGGCUAAGGAUUAUUCGAGAUAAUCAACCUAUUGGUAAUGGACCAACUACUGAAGAUUUUCGUAAAGCGGAAUGUUAUCUUUGGAGGAAGGCUCAACACGACAACUUCGGAGACUCUAUUGUAUCUCUAGAAGCCGGAAAGCUAGUUGACAAAUCCAGCAAUAUUCUGAAGCUAUCACCUUACCUGAAUCACGGCAUUUUGAGAAUAAAUGGUAGAGUUAAGAUAACAGGGCGACCAGAUCAAGUAUUAUUGCCCUCAAAUCAUUAUGUUACUUACCUUAUCAUUAACCACUUCCAUGUAAAGUAUCAUCAUGGAAAUUUGGAAACAGCGGUGAAUAAGGCAAUUCUAUUGUAUCAUAAAACUACGAACAGUGGCUAAUAUGAUUCGACGUAUUUGUCAGCAUUGUAAAAACAGAACAUCUCAACCUCGGCUCGGAUUAUGAUAGCCUCUCUGCCCGCAUUCCGGAACUCAGCAUUUAGUCGACCGUUCUCCUACGUAGGCGUUGACUAUUUUGGUCCACUUCUGGUUACGGUUAAAAGAAGUACCGAAAAGAGAUACGGAGUGUUAUUUACCUGCUUAACAACCUGAGCAGUGCAUCUUGAAAUCGCAUACUCGCUCUCGACAGACCCCUACAUUCUAGCUGUACGUAAUUUUAUGGCUCGCCGAGGUAGUCCGGUAGAAAUAUGGAGUGAUAAUGGUACGAACUUCAAAGGUGCUGAGAAGGAGUUGAAGUUAGCGUUUCAUCUGAUAGAUAAAAAUCAGAUUACAAGAACCUUUACUUCUGCUGCAUCAAACUGGCGUUUUAUGCCACCCGCUUCGCCACAUAUGGGCGGAGAGUGGGAACGAUUAGUUCGGUCAGUAAAGCAGGUGCUUGCACAAAUUUUGACAAAUAGCCGCCCUAAUGAUGAACUCCUUCGUGCAGUCUUAAUGGAAGCGGAAAUGAUGGUUAACUCUCGGUCAUUAACUUAUAUUCCCAUCGGCGACGAAGAGAAAGAGCACUCACUCCCAACCACUUCUUGUUAGGUAGCUCCAGUGGAGUUAAGCCAAUCGCGGAACCAGUUACUGAGAACAUCUUAUUGCGGCGUAACUGGCAAACAUCGCAGCAACUAGCAAGCGCCUUCUAGAGACGUUGGAUAGUGGAGUACUUGCCCACCAUAACCAAGCGAAGCAAAUGGUUUACAGAUGUAAGGACAAUCGAAGUCGGUGAUAUAGCGUACAAAGUGGAUUCUAGUAACCCACGGAACUGCUGGCCUAAAAGCAAAGUGAUCCAAGUACGAAAGAGUGAUGAAAGACUCUGAAGACUGCCUGUGGCAUCUUUGAGAGACCUGCGGCCAAAAUAACCGUUCUAGAUGUAAUUAAUUCGGUACACCCUGAUCAGCAGGAUAUACCGGGGAGGAGUGUUACGACCGAUCUCACGUAAUCCUCGUAUGUCCUACUUGCUUACGUAUGAACUGACGUGGCGCGUUGUGGUUGGUCUAAUAAGCAAAGCGGGAGCAAUUAUUUUAAGUCCUACUUGCUUACGCAUGAACUGACGUGGCACGUUCUAAUUGGUCCAAUUGGGAAACGGGAGCAAUUAGUCUAUUUAGCAAAGUAGGCAAUGGGAAAAACGAUCAUAUCGUCGAUAACGUUCAGAGGGUGCAGUUGGGACUAAAUUUUUUAAUUAACCUUUGAUUUAACCUUUUAUUUAACAUUUGAAUUAAUCCUUGAAUAUUAAAUUAAAUAUUAAAUAUUAUUUCAGUUAAUUGCAAAAAAUGUCUCGCAUUUUUAUUAACAAGUAUAAUAACCAAUCAAAAGUAAUAUACAAACCAUAUUUACGUAAUCAAAGCAAAACCAUUUAUCACAACAGUAAUUCUAUAAAUUUUACUAUUAACAAUAAUUAUUUAGUACGUUUUGAAAAUUGUAAUGUCUAAAUUGUUAAUAUGUCUAUAGACAUCGUAGGCCUCUGACAAUGAAAUGAUUGCCAAACCCAGUUAAGGUAAGGAGGAAAUAGAUUUUCAAAACAUUAAAUAUAUUCAGGAAAUAACAAAAUUCAGAUAUAAAGCAAAACAAAAAUGAUAAGGUUAUACUAUAUAAGAAUAAAAACAUUCUACCUUUAUAAUUGUAUAAAACUUUGGAGUCUUAUUUUAAAAAUAGACAAUUUAUGGUAAAAGUGGGAGAAAAAUAAAAACUCUAAAUUUCACCUAGACAACAAAGUGCUUUUAUAUAAUGCGGUCUACAGCUUAGUAUUCAGCUCUAAAGAAAUGUAAAAACUAAAACUAAAAAACGCUUAAGAAAUGGUCAAUUUCCUAGGGUAAAAUUUUUUCAGCAUUAUGCAGCUCUGAAGAAAUCUAGUUCUAAUUUUUCAUACAUUUUUACACUAAAAUGCGAAUAUGGCGAUGCUGGUUUUGCGAAGAAACAUGAAAUCAACAAUUGUUUCUCGAAGCAAAUUCAAAGUAAUCACUAAAUUCAUCCUACAAUUAGUUGCGCAUUUGACGCAUGUUAAUGCAAAUUAGUAAUGCUCAAAAAUUUCAUGCAUUUAACGGGAUUUACCAAAUUUUAAUUGGCAACAUUGGUUGAAAAUGGCAGAGUUUUGCUAUUGGUGAUUGAUAGAAAGAUGAUAAAAACGUAAACAACAGAUUUAAGGAAAGCGUUAGAGGUAAGCUGUUUUUAUAUUGCUAAUUAUAGAUAUUAUGUGCCAGUAUGUUUCCAAAAACUAAUUUCAAUAUUUUUAGAUAGAAGGAAACAAACAACGAACAAUGUGGACACACAGUGACGAAAAUAUUUUAAUUGAUUUGUGGUGUGAACGAGUCACAGACUUGCGACGUGCUAAACGAAAUUUGCAAAUCUAUGCCGACAUAUCUGUGCAAAUGGCACACAAAUUUAUUCAAGAAGAAGUUCAUGUAAAAAUAAGGAAUCUCACACAAAAAUAUAGAGAGGAAAAGGAAAAAGUUGGGCCCUCGGGAGGCAGUCCAUCGGGAUGGGCGGUACAUUGAAUUAACGGACUGACGGCAGCCAAUAUUUCUGAAAUCUACGAAUCAUUUACUGUGCCAUCUAUACCUAUAGGAUCACCAGAAUCAAUGCCAACUGAACCUAUAGCAUCAUCAGAACCAAUGCCACCUGAACCGGUGUGUACGCCAGUAAUGACAUUGACGAACUCGCCAUCAGUCUCGCCAUUGGGUAGCUCAACAUCAGCAGCGAAAUUACAUGGGCGAAUAAAGCUGCAAAAGAACAAACCAAAUUGCUGAAGACAGUGGUGGAGGACCGGAAAAUAUUGACUGAGGAGUCUUUAAUGUAAUCGAACAACAAAGUAGUAAUACAAAAGAGUUAAUAGGAAUUAUGAAAAAUAAUAAAAAAAAAUUAAAUAUACUUAUA